rnacentral:ribozyme from 15 species
ACGCAACAAAAAAGAAACUAUAAAUCAAAUGCUUGAAAUAUAAUCAGCUAGGACGUUGCUUGCUCCGUUUCUUCAUUUUGGUUUUCAUUUUCAUUAGCAUCAUUUUCUUGAUUUU